rnacentral:rRNA from 1 species
GAAACCGUUCAGGGGUAAACCCGAGAAACCCAAAAGAUCGAAUGGGGAGAUUCAUCGUCAACGACGCUGGCUCCCGCGUUGGUGCGCUAGUGCCCCGGAUGGCCGUCGUUAUCGGCGGGUUUCCCAUCGGCGUGGGCACACCACCCGCGGCGAAUGUUCCGGCGAAGUAGUCGUGCACUUCUCCCCUAGUAGAACGUCGCGACCCGUUGCGUGUCGGUCUACGGACCGAGGCGAUGACUGUCCGUCGUCUUUAUGACGUUCGGUGACAGCCCCUCGGAUUCCCGGCCGACUGCGCGACGGUACUCAGACGGUAUCGGGCCGCAAAAUUGUCGAACGCACUUGCGUCCAGGACCGCCGCAAGCUUGUUCCAGUCUAGAUGCCGGAUUUACGGACUCAGCGCCGUAACCGGGCCUGGCGAGCUGUUAGCAGGCGGAGUCCUUGGACAGGCCAAACUUUGAAUUACCGGUCGGCGACGCUAUUGCUUUGGGUACUCUCGGGACCCGUCUUGAAACACGGACCAAGGAGUCUAACAUGUGCGCGAGUCAUUGGGAUUUGAUAAACCUAAAGGCGAAAUGAAAGUGAAAGUCGUCCGUGAAGUCGACUAAGGGAGGAUGGGCCUCGUUACGAUUAGGCCUCGCACUCCCGGGGCGUCUCGUUCUCAUUGCGAGAAGAGGCGCACCUAGAGCGUACACGUUGGGACCCGAAAGAUGGUGAACUAUGCCUGGUCAGGACGAAGUCAGGGGAAACCCUGAUGGAGGUCCGUAGCGAUUCUGACGUGCAAAUCGAUCGUCGGAACUGGGUAUAGGGGCGAAAGACUAAUCGAACCAUCUAGUAGCUGGUUCCCUCCGAAGUUUCCCUCAGGAUAGCUGGCACUCGACUCGAACGCAAAUGACGAGUCUCAUCUGGUAAAGCGAAUGAUUAGAGGCCUUGGGGCCGAAACGACCUCAACCUAUUCUCAAACUUUAAAUGGGUGAGAUCUCUGGCUUGCUUGCAUCAGAAUGAAGCCACGAGAUAUAAAAAUUUGAUAAGAAUUUUUACUUGGAUCAGAGUGCCAAGUGGGCCAAUUUUGGUAAGCAGAACUGGCGCUGUGGGAUGAACCAAACGCUGAGUUAAGGCGCCUAAGUCGACGCUUAUGGGAUACCAUGAAAGGCGUUGGUUGCUUAAGACAGCAGGACGGUGGCCAUGGAAGUCGGAA